rnacentral:lncRNA from 10 species
CACGCCCGGCAAUUUUUUUUGUAUUUUUAGUAGAGACGAGGUUUCACCAUGUUGGUCAGGCUGGUCUCAAACUCCUGACCUCGUGAUCCACCCCGUCCACCUCCCGAAGUGCUGGGAUUACAGGCGUGAGCCACUGCGUCCAGCCUGUGCAUAUUUCUUUAAACCUUAUUCUACUUGUAUUGUUUCAAUGUAUUAUUUGGUGAAACUAUUAAUCCCACCAUUUUUAAGAUCUCAUGUUUAAAUAUCUCAAUUUUGUUUGUAAAAGGAUAAUAGGAUAGAAAAGCAUGUGAUUAUUUUCUACUCUUAACCAUACCAAAAUGAUUAGGAAAGCCACACAGACAUCAGCAAGGUACUGUUGCUUGCAUAAUGCUGGCAUGUCCCAACAUGUCCCAAAUGCAGGCAAAGUUCCAGAGAAGGCAUUACCACUUGCUAACAGAUUCUGGCUAUAUGACUCAUCUCCAGUGAACAGGAUCAGUGUUAUUUGAUUUUGCACUAUCAGAGUGGUGGGUAAAUGAACAUGAUUUUCCUCUCCUGCUUGUCAAUGUGUCCAAAUGAUUAAUAUCUUAUGAGAACAAAAUGAAUCCAAUGAUAGCUAGCAUUUAUCAAAUACUCAUUAUGUAUCUGGAACCGUUAGUCAUUUCCAUAAAGUAGAUCAUUUAAUUCUUCACAAACCCUGUGAAGUAGGCAUUAUGGUCUCCAUUUUGCUGAAGAGGAAAAUGAGAUGAAGAAAAUGCUAAAUCACUGCUCAAGGUCACAGAGCAGCUCUGCCCAAAUUUCAGCUGUCACAGAAUGAGUGAUCCUCAUAGUAUAAUGGAAAUGCAUCAUCUCAGUUUCCCCAUGGCCUGAAUGUCCAUACAAAAUGAGAGCCAGUAGAGAAAAACAGAGGACGUGAGGAGUUUUUAAAAAUUGAGGAAAAGUGGAAGGAAAAGUAAGGAUGAAGGUGAAGAUGAAGGAAUAUGUCAGAGAUGCUAGCACUGGCAUCCCCCACCACACAGUACCAUGUACUGCUAAAGAACUCUAGAACAUACAGGGUGUAGACGGCAGUCUUCUUGGGGAAAAAGAGGCUUCAGGAUUGCAAGAUUUCAGCUACUGUCUCUCCUCGGAGCAGGAUUCCAUCUUUUCCAUGGCUGGGGCCCUUGACACAUGUCACUGUGCACUGCUCUUCUCGCUGGGGGAAGGAAAUGGAAGGCUGAGACAGGAGAAGACAAAGGAAAGAGAGAGGGAAGGAUGGCGGUGGAGAGAAGAGAAAGGGAAAAGACAUUCUUGCUUGGAUCCCUACAGCAUUCCUGUCUGAUGGUUGAAGCUGGUACUAUUCUCCUUGUCCAGAUUUCCAAAAGACCUUGGCUCAGGUGUCACUUUUGCAGAAAAGCAUUUACUGACUGUUGACUUGGCCAAAUCCCUGUGCUGUGUUUCCUAGUACGGUAAAUCAACUGUAUCCAGUAGUGGGACAGAUGCAGCAUGAAAGAAGAAAGUUACAAUUGCUUUAUCUGAUGCUGUCACUCAUGCCUGGUGUUGAGAGGCGCACAUUUUAAAAAGUCUAAUAGCUCCGACAUAUCUAGGAAACAGAUGGGAAACAAAUGAAGCAUUGAUGGAUUCGCAAAUUCCAGUUCUUUGAUAUUUGUCUGCCCAGGAAUGGGUGGGACAGAGAAAUGUAAGGGAAUAAUGAGGAUACGGGUGGGGAAAGGCUUGCAAUUUUUCCCGUUCUUCUUUGGAUAUGGACUGAAGGAAGGAUGUGGGGAGGAGGUGUUUAUCUUUUGCUUGUACUCUGAACUUUUCCAAAGUUACUGCAUUCCUUGGGAUAUAAAACUGUAAUCAAGAGUCUCUAAUGGAUAACUGCAAUUAUGCAUUGAGUCAUUCAACAAAUACACAUUAAUACUGACUAAAUUAAGCUCGAAUGGAACUUCAGGGCAAAAGAACAGAGAAAAUAAAAUACCACUAGAGAAGGGAUCUGUGCUCUUUCCUGGACUUAAAUCUCCCACAGCCAGCACGUUUGACAGUUAAACUAGUCAAGCAAAUUAGCACAGGCCCAGAGGAUGAAAUCAAGGUGGGGGCAGGUAAGGUUCACAUAAUAAACACUCUCCCUAGACCCUGGACCUAGGGACAAUACUUCAGGAAGAAUUUUUUUUAUUAAUCUCAUUUAUUCAUUCAUGUAUUCACCAAGUAGUUAUUGAAUACCUCCAUGUGCCAGUCACCUUCAUAGGCUCUGGGAACACAGAGACAAAUGGGGUGCAGCUUUUGCCUUCGAGGACCGCCUGAUAAUGGAGGAGCAUGCUUGUUGUACUGUCCCCACACUUCUUUUUUUUUUAAUUUUACUUUAUGUUCCCGGAUACAUGUGCAGAACUUGCAGGUUUGUUACACGGUAUACGUGUGCCAUGGUGGUUUGCUGCACCUUUUAACCUGUCAUCUAAGUUCUCUCCCCUCGCCUCCCGCCCCCCAACAGGCCCCGGUGUGUUUUUGUUCUUCUCCCUGUGUCCAUGUGUUCUCAUUGUUCAAGCCCCAACUUAUGAGUGAGAACAUGUGGUGUUUGGUUUUCUGUUCCUGUAUUAGUUUGCUGAGGAUGACGACUUUCAGCUCCAUCCAUGUGCCUGCAAAGGACAUGAUCUUGUCCCUUUUUAUGGCUGCAUAGUACGCCCCCUGCACUUCUAAUAAAGAUGGCGCCAGGAAGGAAAGCCCAGUUUGCCUCAUUCCAGAAUGCCCCAACUUCUGCCAAAGAGGAGGUUUCCUCCAUUCACCUGUCCAUUUGGAACACAAUGAAAAUACAGAAUAUGCAGAAUAUGCAGAAAAUACAGAAUAUACAGAAAUAGAUGUAUAUGAAUAUACAUCUAUUUAAGAAAAAUUCACAAGGCCCCAAACUACUCUAGCUUUCCUAGGAAGUAGAGAAGACCCCCUCAAAAAAAAACACUGGCAAACUGAGCCUGCUAUUGGGGAAGGAAAUUCAAGACCAGGAAGGUCAGGACAUGUAUUCAUUAAAUGGCUAUAACACCUCAAUCCAAAUGCAGAGAAAUCUGAUGUACACGCUCCAAGAUAAGCAUCUCUAAGGUACAGUCAGUGGUCAAUUUUUCAACAUUUAUUUAAUAUCUUGCUAUAUUUAUGGCAUCGUGAAAUAGAUGCUGUAUUCCUUCUCUGAAAAUUUUCAAUUGAGGUGGGGACAUGAAUAAAUGUAUUAACCCAUUUAUGCCGGAGGUUGCAAUUUUUGUUUUCUGAAAAAUCAGACCUUGGUGAUGACCUUGAGCGGUAGGAUAUAAAAACUCCCAAAAGCCUAGCGUUUUAAUAAUGGAACACUAGGCAUAAGUAGCUUAAAACAGCAUAGAAAAGUCAUGUAAACUAUACAACAGUCAUGUAGAUAUGGUGCAUAUGGAGACACAGGGUUCCUGGGAAGGGCAAACCAUGGUACAGAGUUUACCAGGGAAGAGUUCCUAGGAGAAAUGAGCUUGGAACUGGAUGUUGGAAGAUCAUCACCAUGUGUGGUGGGGCAAGUCUUCAGCCAAACUUCCCUGGGGCUUUUUUUACUCAUCAAAAAAUGAGUACAAUGCACACAGAUUACAUGAAUUUUGUAAGGAUAAAAUAUGACAACAUUAGUAUGGCAUCCAUGCACAUAGGAGGCACUAAUGAAUAUCACAUUCCUUUCCCUUUUCUAUUUUAUGCUUUCCAUACUUGAUAUUAUUUAAUGAUAGAAAUGUUGAUGAAAAUAAGGAAUAGUACACCUCUCACACUUUCUAUAUUGAGCAUGCAUUACUCUUAACACAGAAAAAAUAAAGCACAAGAUUAAAAUAGUGUUUUAUUUGUAGAGUUUUGGUCUGAAAGAAGUUAACAGGUCCUUAGUAGUCACUUCACAGCAGAAAAUCAAAUGAGGGCUUCCCAGCCACACAGAAAUGUUAUUUUAAUCUGAUGUUCAGUGCCCUUCAGUUGCUAGUUAGACCCGCUUAGACUGAAACAGAUGCCACAAAUGCAAUGCUAUGUUCACCACCCAGUCGCUUUCCAAACACAGGGUAAGGAUUCAGGUC